UAGGAAAUGGUGUAAUGGAAGCACUAAGAGUUUUGAUCUCUUAAGUUUGGGUUCGAGUCCCUAUUUUCUAA
rnacentral:tRNA from 1 species